GCUGGUGGUUAUAGCGCGAUGGUACCACCUGAUCCAUACCGAACUCAGUAGUGAAACGUCGUAGCGCCGAUGGUAGUGUGAGAUUACUCAUGUGAGAGUAGGAAACUGCCAGCU
rnacentral:rRNA from 1 species